rnacentral:rRNA from 1 species
CAACAGGGAUUGCCCUAGUAACGGCGAGUGAAGCGGCAACAGCUCAAAUUUGAAAUCUGGCUCUUUUAGAGUCCGAGUUGUAAUUUGCAGAGGGCGCUUUGGCUUUGGCAGCGGUCCAAGUUCCUUGGAACAGGACGUCACAGAGGGUGAGAAUCCCGUACGUGGUCGCUGGCUAUUGCCGUGUAAAGCCCCUUCGACGAGUCGAGUUGUUUGGGAAUGCAGCUCUAAAUGGGAGGUACAUUUCUUCUAAAGCUAAAUAUUGGCCAGAGACCGAUAGCGCACAAGUAGAGUGAUCGAAAGAUGAAAAGCACUUUGGAAAGAGAGUCAAACAGCACGUGAAAUUGUUGAAAGGGAAGCGCUUGCAGCCAGACUUGCUUACAGUUGCUCAUCCGGGUUUUUACCCGGUGCACUCUUCUGUAGGCAGGCCAGCAUCAGUUUGGGCGGUAGGAUAAAGGUCUCUGUCACGUACCUCCUUUCGGGGAGGCCUUAUAGGGGAGACGACAUACUACCAGCCUGGACUGAGGUCCGCGCAUCUGCUAGGAUGCUGGCGUAAUGGCUGUAAGCGGCCCGUCUUGAAACACGGACCAAGGAGUCUAACAUCUAUGCGAGUGUUUGGGUGUCAAGCCCGAGCGCGUAAUGAAAGUGAACGGAGGUGGGAACCCGCAAGGGUGCACCAUCGACCGAUCCUGAUGUCUUCGGAAGGAUUUGAGUAAGAGCAUGGCUGUUGGGACCCGAAAGAUGGUGAACUAUGCUUGAAUAGGGUGAAGCCAGAGGAAACUCUGGUGGAGGCUCGCAGCGGUUCUGACGUGCAAAUCGAUCGUCAAAUU